GUAUUCUUAUGUAUUCGGAAAUGUUUUCGAUUGGAAUAAAUUCGUUUUUUGUUAUUUUUCUAUUCUGAAUAUUCAGAUAAAUUCCUAAUGUAAAUGUUCAUAAUAGGAAUAUGACGAAAAAUGAAAUUAUUCCGAUCGGAAACGUUUUCGAAUGGAUGCAUAAUAGUUGCCCGGCACGAAGAAUUUUGCGCUUUGAAGCGAAGGUAGUGUCAAGUGGAAUGUAUUUAUCCGAAUCAGGCAAAAUGGCGAUUCAGUGAAGAGCCGUCAAGGAUAUAGUUGCCGAUGUUCUCGAUGAGCAUCAAAGUAAUUUGAAAACAAUCGCGAAUGUGACGCGUUCUAACAACGUACAGAAUGCAAACAGCGCGUUUUUAUUGCCAUCUUGUUUGGAGUGUUUGGUGUUUAUUACAAGUUACUGCCAAGGACUAUGUCCAACUGUCACACGAUGGACCAGCUAUUUUGGGUGCUACAAUCAAUUUGAGAGCAGAUUUGUACACAGAAGAAAACACGCGACCAUAUGGGACCUACAAAUAUAAAUGGACCGACAAUUCAAUGGAUAGACAUGAAUAUGAGAUCGUUGGUACAUCAAAUACAACAACAUUUUGGAAUGUAACUUAUUCACGGGAAAAUAACACACCUGGAACCUACAUGGUAGACAUAGAAGUCAGCUAUCAUACUUGGGGAAUUAUAUGGACAUUUGAUACAAGUGCUCGUAUUGAGUUUGAGAUUACUGAAUAUCUUAAUGGUAAUAUAACUGCAAAACAAACUAAUAAAACUAUAGUAGGAGAUUAUAUCUCUUCAGUAAAUGAAACAAACCUAACAAUAGAUAUACGCAAAGGAGAUUAUGAUUUUAUAAUGCAGAAGGCAACAGCAAUAUCGACAUAUUGGUUUAUUGAUUGCAAGUAUUAUGGUCAUACGGAUAAUUUCGCUUUUACAUAUAAUUUUACGAGUCCUGGCAUGACACAUGAAAUAGGAGCUUUGGUGAUUGCUUCGUACGAUCCACCUACAACCACGACCAUUUUGCCAUCUACAACUACGACCGCGCCUAUUAAUGUGACGACAGUUUCACCAAAUGCUACUACAGCAAAUCCAAAUGGAACUCGUAUCACAGAUGUAACAACAAUUAUGUUGUCAACAACUGUUGCAAGUGUAGAUCCAUCGAUAAAGCCUGUGACGACUGCAUCUCCGAUCACUACUAUAAGCACGAUAGAUGCUGCCAAUAUGUCUUUGCCUUACAUUUGUUCAAACACUUCUCUCAUUCCGCCGGAUCCUAACAAAACAUAUGGAUACUUUUACAGGAAGAUUCACGUUCGUGCUCCUGUGUCAAACAUCUCAGUGGAAGGUACAAACUGGAUCCAACCAUGGGAUAUGCUGUCUCUGAAUGUAACCUGUAAGGGAUCGGGGCCCUUCUGCAAGUGUCUUCAAUUCCACCAUGGAAAAUACAAUAUAACGGGAAACGAAACAUGCGAUGAUGUAGAACAGUUGCACUCAUGCAAUUUCUCUAUUCUCCAUUAUUUCCUCGAGCCUAGUGUCUACACAAUAUUGAUCAUAUUGAACAACGAAGUCAGUAAACAAGUUUAUCCAUUAACAAUAAACAUUUACAAAGUUACAACAAAACCGCAAUUGUCGGUAAUCGUAGUACCAGUCUCUUGUUCGCUCGUUGCCGUGGUACUAAUAGUAUUCGGUGUGGCGUAUUAUAUUCAAAGCAGAGCAAGAUUUACAGUAGAAGUCGCAGACUUCGACUUUGGGCAAAGUAACCCAGAAAUGGAAUACAAAACAUUUACAGAACGUUUGCGCGACUCAUUUAAUAACACUGUAAGACCUGGAAACGAACGGCUAAAUGUACGCUAUUAUGGCAGCAUGAAUCACUGAAAAGGCUAUGCGAACUAUGUGACUUCUCUAUUGCCGUCUAAUUUUUCUAUUAUUUUCGAAUGCAGGAUAUAAACCACUUAGCAAUCCGCAAACACUUCAGUGAUGUAUGCAUAAACAAGAAGCAACUUUCCAGAAAACGACGUUAACUUAUAACAAAUGUUUUUGCGAAGAGUGAGCGGAGAGAUUCAUCAGGUAAAAUAUUCAACAAAUUCAACGAUAUUGGUGAAAAGGUUCGUCGGAUUUUGUUAUUGCGAUAAUAGACAUUAAGCGAUUUCGCUUAAAGAUCGUGCGAUACUAGUUAACAAGAAAGAGGGAAAUAUAAGAUUGCGCGAUUGUUUCCAACAAUUUGCAAAUGAUCAAAUCGAAAAUGUAUAUAGAGAUAAGGAAGGAUGUAUAUAUAGGCUGUGAAUAUAGUAUGCAACAAUGUAUUAGAACCGCUCUUAAUACGAUAAAUGAAAAAUUUGAUAUUUUUUUAAGGUUGCAAAUAUGAGAAUGAUCAAUUUAUGGUCCUUUUUAUGAUUUAUAUUGAUUUACUAAUGAUCGUACAUGUUUCACAUUAUAUGGAAUAUUAUAGUAAUGAGUAAAUAAUUCUAUACUUUAUUUAUAUAUGUACACAUGUGUAUAGAAAAAUUACUAAUAUAUGAAAAGGCUUUAUUGAGAGAUAGAAUUGAGUCACACUCGUAUUAAGAAAUCUUUUUGUGUACGUGUCAUUUUAUACUUAUUGUUAGUAUAAUUUGUUAUUAAGUAGAUUUUUUAAAAGAUUUUGGUCUAAAUAGAAUUAUUUUAGAUUAAAUUCAAAGAAUAAAGUAGACUUUAGAUAAAAUUUAAAAGAUGAGAUAACAAAUCUAUGCAAAAUAUUAAGCUAGAUGAAUUAUUUAAUUCCAGAAACAUAAUUAUCACGUGAUAUUGUGUGACGUAAGAGUAUUUAUCUGUAUCUUUAAUUAAAAAAUGAAGGGUUAACACGGGAAUGUGAUUUCUCAUAUUAUUGUCAUUCGAUCGAUCGUUAUACUAUCGAUACAAUAGAUCUGUCUUGUCGCAAUGUGUAACACUUAUUAAAAUAUUAUUGUAAUAUAA